rnacentral:rRNA from 1 species
CUACGGGGGGCACCAGUGAGGAAUAUUGGGCAAUGGAGGCAACUCUGACCCAGCCAUGCCGCGUGCAGGAAGACGGCCCUCUGGGUUGUAAACUGCUUUUGUUUGGGAAUAAACCCUUCUACGUGUAGGAGGCUGAAGGUACCAUUCGAAUAAGGAUCGGCUAACUCCGUGCCAGCAGCCGCGGUAAUACGGAGGAUCCAAGCGUUAUCCGGAUUUAUUGGGUUUAAAGGGUCCGUAGGCGGGUCUUUAAGUCAGUGGUGAAAGCCCACAGCUCAACUGUGGAACUGCCAUUGAUACUGGAGAUCUUGAGUGUAGUAGAAGUAGGCGGAAUAGGGCAUGUAGCGGUGACAUGCAUAGAUAUGCCCUAGAACACCGAUUGCGAAGGCAGCUUACUAUGUUACAACUGACGCUGAGGGACGAAAGCGUGGGGAGCAAACAGGAUUAGAUACCCGCGUAGUC